GCUGCCGAUACAAAGGCCUGACUCAGAAGAAAUUCUGCGUCACCUGUAGCAUCAAGAUCAAGUGCCUGUUGCGAAGAUCUGCAGCGUCGUUCUUUCAUCUCCAAAUCGAAAGCAAUUCAAUAAGCCACCCAGCCAUAUAUGAAAAUGUGUGUCGGCGGUGGGCGGGUGAGCAGGAGAGAGAGACACCUGCUGCACACGUGUUUAACCAUCACUACUACUACUACUACUGAUGGCGAUACUACUACUAUUACUACUGCUGCCGCCACUACUGAUGAUGUUUACCACUACUACAGUUAUCAUUUAGUAUUACUGCUCACCAGGUGUUCUGCUCCUCGAUUACUAACAUUUACUACUGCUGCUGCACUUCCACCAGGUCCUAUCACUCCUAGUCGAGUUCUGCCAGUCUCUGGUGGUGGUGGUGGUGGUGCUGCUGCUGGUCCUUCGCACACCCCCACGUCAAAGGAAAUUUUUGUCACGCUGCUGAGGAAGAGAGAAGGCGUUUUCAUCUCACCUCAUUGAUCGACGUGUAUUCCUGUUUAUUGUCGGCAACAAGUGUGUUAAGACUCAGUGUUGGCUGGCUGGUGCUGGUACAUGAGCUGCUGUGUUAUAAGUCCCAGACUCCUCAACUAUCAAAAUUAUUGUUUGUUUUUUUUUUUUUUUUUUUUAAGCAAUUUUUUUUUUUUUUAGGAAUAUGAGCGGUGUUUCUCCGGAGAGUCUUUGGAGUAUCAUUUAACUGAAAUUAAGCAUUUUUUUUUUUUUUGGAAUAUGAGCGGUGUUUCUCCGGAGUGUCUUUGGAGUAUCAUUUAACUGAAAUUAAGUUUUUUUUUUCUUUUUUUUUAGGAAUAUGAGCGGUGUUUCUCCGGAGAGUCUUUGGAGUAUAAUUUAACUGUAUAUGAUAAAUAAUGAAUAUGUAUAAAUAAUGAAUAAUUGAACGGACGCAAGUACAA